UGCAGCCAUGAUGGAGCACUGCCUUUAGUCAAACAAAUCAACUCCAGGACUUAUCCUUUAUAAGCCUAGUACUAAUACUAUGGGUCUCUUUUGCUGAACUGCUAAGUUACAGGGAUUGGUUGUCAAGCGAUGGUGGGGAGACAAACACAGACACACA